UGGGGAAUCUUGGACAAUGGGGGCAACCCUGAUCCAGCCAUGCCGCGUGGGUGAAGAAGGCCUUAGGGUUGUGAAGCCCUUUCAGUCGUGACGAUGAUGACGGUAGCGACAGAAGAAGCCCCGGCUAACUCCGUGCCAGCAGCCGCGGUAAUACGGAGGGGGCAAGCGUUGUUCGGAUUUACUGGGCGUAAAGGGCGCGUAGGCGGACGAUCAAGUCAGAGGUGAAAGGCCCGGGCUCAACCUGGGACGUGCCUUUGAAACUGAUUGUCUUGAGUGCGGAAGAGGGUGACGGAAUUCCCAGUGUAGAGGUGAAAUUCGUAGAUACCAUGAGGAACACCGAUAGGGAAGCCAGCUUACUAGACGGUCACUGACGCUGAGGUACGAAAGCGUGGGGAGCGAACAGGAUUAGAUACCCCUGUAGUCC
rnacentral:rRNA from 1 species